rnacentral:rRNA from 1 species
UACGUAGGGGGCAAGCGUUAUCCGGAAUUAUUGGGCGUAAAGAGUACGUAGGUGGUUUUGUAAGCGCGGGGUGAAAGGCAGUGGCUUAACCAUUGUUAGCCUUGCGAACUGCAAGACUUGAGUGCAGGAGAGGGAAGCGGAAUUCCUAGUGUAGCGGUGAAAUGCGUAGAUAUUAGGAGGAACACCAGUGGCGAAGGCGGCUUUCUGGACUGUAACUGACACUGAGGUACGAAAGCGUGGGGAGCAAACAGU